CUCAACGCAUCAUUUCUCUUCCUUGACUUAAUAGUGAGCGGAUAAUCGAGCGCACUAAGCUGCAAACCAUCACCUUCUCAUCUUUUUCUUUCUUUAUUUUUGUCUGAGACAUGGCGCAAAAAAACCCCACAAGGAUUUUGAAAAACUUCUUGAACCAUCUUUCUGUGGAUAACUUCAAUGACUUUUGCGACGCGCUCCUGGACCGCAGGGAGGAACCGUGUGUCCCUCGCGUGAGGGUGGAGGGCAAAAGCCGCCUGGAGAUCGGUAAUGUGAUGAUAAGCACUUUUACGGAGCAGGGAGCCCUGAAGGUGGCAGAGGAAAUCCUCAGAGAGAUCGACUGCUCCGAGGCUGCGAACAAACUCGCUAAAGAGGCAGGACCAGCAGGACCAGCGGGUGGAGCAGGACCAGCGGGUGGAGCAGGACCGGCAGGUGGAGCAGGACCAGCGGGUGGAGCCAUGGAGCACUUUGUGGACGUACACAUGGAGGACUUGGUCCAGAGAGUGUCCUAUGUCGACCCCAUUUUGGAUGCGCUGUUGAUUAAAAAAGUCAUCCAACCCGAGGCUUAUGACACUAUAAGAGCUCUGCCAACCUCUCAGAACAAGAUGAGGGAGCUCUACAAAGGUCCUUUCAGAAGCUCCAACACCUGCAAAGACAUCUUCCUCGAAAUCCUUCGGAAGCAGCAGCCGUAUCUCAUAGCUGACCUCGAAAACAAAUAGUUUGUGGUGAAAUAAAAAAAUAGAAAAGAACCAAGAAAAUGUUUCCUCUGCAGAGGGAUAUAGGAAGGUUUUUUUUGUAAUGUGUAAUAUUUUACACCUAUAUUUGCUGGAACUGUUAAAGGUAUUGUGACAUCAUUUUUAACAUGCUUUUAACACUAUUAAAAGUCUUGGCCAACAUCCCUCAAAUGUGUCUAAAAGGGUGUAACAAGAAAAACUUCACUUCAGUACUCCAUUCCUGGCUUUUUAUGACGGUGUUUUUUUGUGCCGUGAAAAACGCGUCCUUUUUCCCCUUUCCUGUCAAUCAUUGCCCCGCUCCUCCUCCCAACCUCCUCCAACCCAACUGCUACACACUUCUGCCGGCGUCUCCACACACACGCGCACACACCGAACCACAAACACCCACACACACAGCCCAGACAGGGCGACUACAGCCCGGGGAUGAAGUCCGUGACCAGAGGACUCGACUGGAAGUCAAGUCUUCUGGUCACGGACUUCUAACAGCGGCGUCAGAGAGUUAAGCCGGGAGCGACAGGCGAAUCAUGCACGGAAAAGCAGCACGGCGAAGUAGUCCACCGCAAACAAUCAUAAAAAUAAAGGCAUGCAAGCAGCAGUGUCCCCUUAUCUUAAGUCCAGUCAGUGGCCGCGGGUCUUCUUAGCAGUUGUCCUCCGGUGAUGAGAACAGAAGAAGCUCUAAACAGCUCCGUGUUAAGCCUGAUUUAUGGCUCUGCGUCGGUGUAACGCGGAACCAUAAAUCAGCCUUUAUGGUGCGCUGGAGAGGAGAGGAAGCAGGGAGCUGGGUGGAGGGGGCGGUGAUUUAGCGGGUCUAUACGUAACGGCUCGCCACCAAACCAGAUGCGCCGUUUUUGCAUAGUUAUGCGGAAAAUCCCAGAAAGCACACAAUACACUGAAUGUUAAAAGUUCGUUGUUUUUUGGGUGUAAUUGAUGUCAAGACACCCAACAAAACAAAAAAUCAAGAAAAAUGUGUUUUUCAUGUCACAAUACCUUUAAGGUUUGAAAUCCCAGCCCUGAUCACUGAGCCUCAUAAAGACCUCAUUUUAUAAAAGAAAAAAAGACAUUUGUGAUCUAGUUUUGUAAUUAAAAUAUGUAUUUUUUUAUGAAUUACUGUUAUAAAUGAAUCACGUAAUUUGACUCAAACUUUUACUACAAAUGUCAUUUUUCAUACCUGUAUAGGAAUGUUAUUGAUUUUCUUUAUUGAUUAAAUUACGGUAAGCUGAGAAUUGGAUAGAUUGAAAGAAAGAUUUUAACCGUCUACUAAGAAUUCACUAUUGGUUAUUCACUGAAAAUAAUCUGUAAUUUGAACAUGACAAUAAAAAUCAUAAUUUUAAGUAA